CUCCCUAUGCUUUCAUGAGUCU
rnacentral:miRNA from 14 species